rnacentral:rRNA from 1 species
AUACGUAGGGGGCAAGCGUUAUCCGGAUUUACUGGGUGUAAAGGGAGCGCAGACGGCGAUGCAAGUCUGAAGUGAAAUGCCGCAGCUCAACUGCGGAAUUGCUUUGGAAACUGUGUGGCUAGAGUAUCGGAGGGGUAAGCGGAAUUCCUAGUGUAGGGGUGAAAUGCGUAGAUAUUAGGAAGAACACCGAUAGCGGAGGCAGCCUUCCGGCCCGUCAACGACGCUCAUGCUCGAAGGUGCAGGUAUCAAACAGGAUUAGAUACCCUGGUAGUCCGCACAGUAAACGAUGGACACCCGCGGUUUGGCCUGUAUGGCUGAGCCGCCAAGCGAAAGCGUUAAGUGUCCCACCUGGGGAGUACGCCGGCAACGGUGAAACUCAAAUGAAUUGGCGGGG